AACAUUGGUAGUACUGUAAAGGAAAAAUAAAUAUAUAAAAAAGUAAAGUUUAGACUUGUACCUUUUGAAUCAUGGUUUAUAGAAAGAUUAAUGUAAAAUUAUUCUAGAAGAAUUUAGAGCUACUAAGUUUUCAAGGUUACUGUUUUAUAAGUAAAUUUAAUUACUUAGUAGUAAUGAAAUGUUUAUCAAAAAAUUUUAUAGCUAGUUAAAUGGGAAAUAUAUUGGAGUGUAGAACUAUGAAAUUGUCAUAGGUUAAGUAUUAAAGAAUAAAAGUUCUUUAAUUAAGUUAAACAGAGUAGAUUUAGAAGGAGUAAUGUGAAGUAGGUUUAGAAUGGACUUUCUUUUUUUAUAAGGUAAUACUAUAGGUUAUUCGGGUAAAAUUUUUGUGGUGUUUAUUUUUACUUUUUUAUAGAAAAUAAGAAAUUUUUUUAAUGAUUAGUAUAAAAUUAGUAGUUAAUUAUAAAUUAAUAUUUUUUAGAACUAGUUAAAAUUAAAAUAUGUAAAAUAUAAAAUAAUUGUGUUAGUUGAAUUUAAGGAACUCGGCAAAAAUAGAUUUCGCUUGUUUAUUAAAAACAUCGCUCCUUGAGUAGUAAAUAAUAAGGGGUUAUACCUGCUCAAUGAGUUAAAUAACUUAAAUAGCCAUUGAUAUGUUAAAGUAGCAUAAUCUCUUAUCUCUUAAAUGGAGGUGUGUUGAAUGGUUUGACGAGAAUCUUUCUGUCUCAAGCUUAAAAAAUGAAAUUAACUUUCAAAUGAAAAGGUUUGGAUAAACUAAAAAGACGAGAUGACCCUAUUGAGCUUUAUAUUGGGCCAAUAUAUGGAUAAUGAACAAUUUUGGUUGGGGCAACACAGGAAAAUGAAAAUCUUCCUUAGAUAAAUGAAAUUUGUUAAAAUUUGAUCCGACAGAUGUUGAUAAAUAGAGCAUAGCUACCAUAGGGGUAACAGCGUAAUUUUGUUUGAGAGUUCUUAUCGAAAAUAAAGUUUGCGACCUCGAUGUUGGACCAGAAUACCCUUUGUGGUUGAAGACGCUUUAAAGGGUUAGUCUGUUCGACUAUUAAAAUUCUACGUGAUCUGAGUUUAGACCGGCGUGAGUUAGGUUGGUUUCUAUCUUUUAGUUAAGUUGCAUAUUAUUUGUACGAAAGGACUUUAUAUGCUUAAUGAAAA
rnacentral:rRNA from 1 species